CAAAUAUUUAUUAUACGUAUUUCUGUGUUUACGUACAAUUCCUUCCUGGUUCCAGAAUUCGUGUGAGACAUUCGGAUGAUUUUAGAUGAAUAUAUAAUGUUUGUUUUCGCUCGGUUGUUAUACUCAAAAUUCUCAUAUCUGUUCACUUCAACAAAUGUCUUGGAUGCAUAUUUGCAAUCUGUCAAUGUGUUAGUGUCAGUAAAACGAAAUGAUACAAUAAAUAACGGAUCACAACGAACACAUUACGAUGAAAAAUUAAAAGAAAAAUACUAGCAGAUUUGUUUGCAUGUACAGGAAGGCACGUACACUUUGAAUGAUUUGUGAACGACUGUAAAUAAAGGACUUUAUCUAAUGUUCGCACUUUACUAUGAUAAAGCAGCAAUACUUGAAAGAAAAAUCAGGAAUAUCUAGAUAAACGAUAUAACAACUCAACAGCCUGCACACACCGAAUAUCGCACGUUCUCACAGCGAAGUGCCAUUUCAUGGUGGGAUAUAUAAAUGCAGCUGGUGAUGCAAGAGCAGUUGUAACAUGUGCACCGCUAAAGUGAUGAGCGAUUAUAUAUCAGUGUGGUUGAAAUAUCAUAGGACUGAGGUUACAAUGUGAUUUGGAGACAACAGCGAUAAUGAGGCUGGAUCAGUUAUCCACGGAUUAUUUUCUUUUAUUUAUCACUCUACCAGCGUGGAUGGCACCAGAAAGUUUCGGCUACAUACUGGAGUCGAGUCCCCAACAGACAUUUCCGUUUUCGUUUAUCGGACAAAUGUAUCCAACGGGAAAGCAUCUAAACCCUAAGAAAUUAUUCAGACGUCUUGGAAAUAGUUUUGAUCCAGAGUGGAUGUCUGUGACAGAUCCAAGCGAAAAUAAGUUGUUCCAAAACUCGUCUGUCCACGAACAUCAUUCAAAUGGUUUGUACGCAUACUCCAUGACACGAGCAAGAGUUUCCGAUAUUUUGCGGGAUAGAUAUAACUUUGGAAUCGAAAUCGAAUCUUUGGAUGUGAUUGUGACUUUUUUGCACGAGCUUUCCACGUGUCACGUGAAUUACAUGUGGGAGGAUUUAGGGCAAUUAUUUUGGCCUCGAUUUGUUAAAAAAGGCUCCUGUGACUCCUCUGGCCCCUGUUCGUGGCCCCCGGGCAUGAGAUGCCAAAAAGGUCAAGAUAAGAAACUUCAAGUCCUAAGAUGGAUUUGCAAAAAGGGUCGACGGAAAACCGCGGGACAAAAAAAGAAUGUAAAUUUCACAAGCAGACGACAAAAUAAGGAAACAAAUCACGUGAUACUUGGUGAUAGGGUAAAAUGUAAGUGGAGAAAAGUUCCGUAUGAGAUAAUAACGUCUUGUGUUUGCAAGUGUGAUUAAAACAUAGACGUUUGAAAGUUGCUCAUAUUAAAACUCAGACAACCGAAUAAACUCUAUUCGGUUUAUGUUGAUCUUUGUAUUGUUCUGUUCAUUGAAUAUAUAUAAUUAUAAGUGUUACUAUUUAUUAUUCACAACCAAACUUUACAUCAUGUGGAAGUUUACAGUUUGCAUUAACAUAUAUUGAUAUAAUUUAAAUAAAAAUGUUGAAACAUGU